GCUCCAAUAGCGUAUAUUAAAGUUGUUGCAGUUAAAAAGCUCGUAGUUGAAUUUCGGGAUUGACACAUCGGUCGUGCCUUAAGGGGUAUGAACUGGUGUAGUCAAUUUCUCACCUUCUGGAGAACCGCGAUGCCCUCAAUUGGGUGUCACGGGGAACCAGGACCUUUACUUUGAAAAAAUUAGAGUGUUUAAAGCAGGCAUUUUGCUUGAAUACAUUAGCAUGGAAUAAUAAAAUAGGACGGCAUGAUUCUAUUUUGUUGGUUUCUAGGAUCACCGUAAUGAUUAAUGGGGAUAGUUGGGGGCAUUAGUAUUCAAUUGUCAGAGGUGAAAUUCUUGGAUCUAUUGAAGACUAACUACUGCGAAAGCAUUUGCCAAGGAUGUUUUCAUUAAUCAAGAACGAAAGUUAGGGGAUCGAAGACGAUCAGAUACCGUCGUAGUCUUAACCAUAAACUAUGCCGACUAGGAAUCAGACGAUGUUAAUWUUUWARCSMCUCGUUCGGCGCCUACGGGGAAAACAAAAAAGG
rnacentral:rRNA from 1 species